AUGGGGCUUCUCGAAGAAGCGGAGGUGGACAUGGAGGCUCCUUCUCUCGAACCCUUUGGGUUUGGUGAUGACUUGCAGGAAGAGGGUGAUGAGGAGGAGGAAGGGGAAGAUGAGGAGGAGGUGACCGAGAUAGAGGAGGAGGCGUUCGCCGCCGUUGCAAAACCCACCGUGCGCUCGACAAACUAUAGCGAGGAUGAAGAUAUUCUCUUGGUUCGUGCUUGGGCACAUGUGGGGUUGGAUGCAAGCACCAGUACCGAUCAAACCGGUAAACGCUAUUGGCAACGCAUAGAGGACGUCUAUUGCAAGAUCAAGCCGAAGACCGGUGGGUACAUCCCUCAUAGUUACUGGUUGCUUCAAGGCCGGUGGGAGUAG
rnacentral:rRNA from 1 species